rnacentral:rRNA from 1 species
CGAGUCAUUGGGACUUUCUAAACCUAAAGGCGUAAUGAAAGUGAAGGCCCGCCUUGCGCGGGCCGAGGGAGGAUGGGUGGCGUCACGAUGCCGCCCCGCACUCCCGGGGCGUCUCAUUCUCAUUGCGAGAAGAGGCGCACCCAGAGCGUACACGCUGGGACCCGAAAGAUGGUGAACUAUGCCUGGUCAGGACGAAGUCAGGGGAAACCCUGAUGGAGGUCCGUAGCGAUUCUGACGUGCAAAUCGAUCGUCGGAACUGGGUAUAGGGGCGAAAGACUAAUCGAACCAUCUAGUAGCUGGUUCCCUCCGAAGUUUCCCUCAGGAUAGCUGGCGCUCGCUUUGCGAGUCUCAUCCGGUAAAGCGAAUGAUUAGAGGCAUUGGGGUCGAAACGGCCUCAACCUAUUCUCAAACUUUAAAUGGGUGAGAUCUCCGGCUUGCUCGAACUUGAAGCCGUGAGAUAUUACAAGGAUCAGAGUGCCAAGUGGGCCACUUUUGGUAAGCAGAACUGGCGCUGUGGGAUGAACCAAACGCAGAGUUAAAGCGCCUAAAUCGACGCUUAUGGGAUACCAUGAAAGGC